GGCCCCAUCGUCUAUCGGCUAGGACACCAGGUUCUCAUCCUGGUAAGCGCGGUUCGAUUCCGCGUGGGGUCACCA
rnacentral:tRNA from 4 species